UACGGGGGGAGCAAGCGUUGUUCGGAUUUACUGGCGUAAAGGGCGCGUAGGCGGCCAGCACAAGUCAGUUGUGAAAUCUCCGGGCUUAACUCGGAAAGGUCAACUGAUACUGUGCGGCUAGAGUGCAGAAGGGGCAACUGGAAUUCUCGGUGUAGCGGUGAAAUGCGUAGAUAUCGAGAGGAACACCUGCGGCGAAGGCGGGUUGCUGGGCUGACACUGACGCUGAUGCGCGAAAGCCAGGGGAGCGAACGGG
rnacentral:rRNA from 1 species